rnacentral:rRNA from 1 species
UGCUUGCACUUGGAUGGACUGAGUGGCGGACGGGUGAGUAACGCGUGAGGAACCUGCCUUUCAGAGGGGGAUAACAGUUGGAAACGACUGCUAAUACCGCAUAAGCGCACGGUAUCGCAUGAUACAGUGUGAAAAACUCCGGUGGUAUAAGAUGGACCCGCGUCUGAUUAGCUUGUUGGUGAGGUAACGGCCCACCAAGGCGACGAUCAGUAGCCGGCCUGAGAGGGUGAACGGCCACAUUGGGACUGAGACACGGCCCAGACUCC